GACGAACCGUGCGAACGUUAUUCGGAAUCACUGGGCUUAAAGCGCGUGUAGGCGGGCCGCCACGUCGGCUGCUGAAAUCCCCCGGCUCAACCGGGGAACGGGCACCGAUACGAGCGGCCUCGAGGGGGGGGUAGGGGGGGUCUGGAACUUCCGGUGGAGCGGUGAAAUGCGUUGAGAUCGGAAGGAACGCCCCGUGGCGAAAGCGAGGCCCUGGACCCUUACUGACGCUGAGGAGCGAAAGCGUGGGGAGCGAACAGG
rnacentral:rRNA from 1 species